GAUGUAUUGUUGUAUCUUACCGAGUUAUUUUUUAAAAACUCUGACAUCAUGCUUGAAAGUAUGAUAGUAGUAAAAAACUGUCCACAAUUUCCAUAGAGGAGGGGGAAACAAGCAUCAGUGACUGUUAGAAAAAUCUAGAGGGAUGGGGAUUUAUAAUUAAGUAAAUCUCUUCCAUUAGGAGGGGGGGAGGGUAUUGCCUAGAACUAGACACUGAAAUACUCUGGUUCACUCUUCUUCCCUUUGGUAUACAGAGUGGUAUAAUUUGGCAGCCUUUUAUUCUGGUUUUGUAACUUAAACCAGCAAGUUGAAACACCCAAUGUUUCAAACAACCAAUAUCAAAUGCUGGAUGCUCAGUUAAGCAGCGGUCAUGCAUGUUUUCUUCCAGCUUUUUUACAAGGUUCACAUAAACAACAAUGAGCCAGGACACAGUUAUAAUACCACAUUUAAAGCAUUUCACCUGAG